UGGGUAUGCGCCACUGUGGUAAUGGACUCUGGAACAGAUGGGAUCUGCGGGAUCCUGGUCCAGCUUGGGGUAGGGUGGGGAGGGGAGGUUCUCUGAGGAAGGAAGGCCUUCUCUGAGGAUUUUAGUGUUGCAGCUCUUGUAGGUGAUACUCAAUGAAACAGCUCUCUUAGAGAAUCUUCAGUAAAAUAGCUGCUGUGCAUACACUGUAUACAAGGGCUACAUAUGAACCUUGGAGAGUGGAGAUUUCUGGGUGAAUAUAAAAGGCGAUGGCUGAAGCUUAAGUCCUGUGAAUGCCUCAUUUGUCUGGAGAUGCGUUCCGAGAAUCUCAGACAGGAGCCUAGCAUAACUGUCUCCUGAGAGGCUCCGUCCAGUGGAUGGAAACAGAUGUAGAGACCCACAGCUGAAUCGCAGGCAGAGCUCGGGGAGUCUUGUGGAAGAGUGGGAGGAAGGACAGCACAAGAAGACCUGCAGAGUCAACUAACCUGGGCCCAUGGGGGCUUACAGAGACUGAGCCAAACAAAGAGCAUGCAUGGACUGGACAUAGGUCCCCUACACAUAUGCAGGAGAUAUGCAGCUUGGUCUUCAUGUGGGUCUUUUGUAACAACUGGAGUGGGGCCAGUCUCUGACUCUGUUGUCUGCCUUUCCAUCCCUUUCCCCUAGCUAGGCUGCCUUUCCUGGCCUCAGUGGGAGAGGAUGUGUUUAGUCCUGAUUCGACCUGAAGUGCAAAGAGGGGUUGGUAACCAAGGGGACGGGCCUUCCUUUCUCUGGGGAGGAGGGGAAGAGGCAAUGGGGAAAGGGGCAUGGGAGGAUAGGGGGGAGGGAAGCUUCAAUCAGGAUGUAAAGUGAAUAAAUAAAUUAAAAGAGAGUAAUUGUAGUUUGAAUAUUGAUAUCCAAUGCUUUUGGGUGUUUUAUUUUUAUGUAUUUUCAUAAGAGUAGCAUUGCUAGCCCAUCUCUUUUCCCCACCCCCCCAAAGGUUUACUGUUUCAUGUUAAAUGUUACAGAGUUCUGGAACUGUCAGAACCAUGCCUGAGAACCCAAAGAAAGAAAUGGUGUAACGGACAGUCCCAUCCACCUAGACUCGAUUCGUAUGCAUUUUGAUAAUUUCACAAUCUUAAAAAAAUUAUGACAAGACUUGGAAUUUACAUCUGUUGCAGGUCUUCAGUGUUCCAGUACAGUGUGCCAGUAAACAAACCUCAUCAUGCCUCUCUUCACGUCUUAAACCAUAACCCCAAACAGAAUGUGUGUAUGUGUCUAGCUGGAGUAAAGCAUACUUUAAGGGGAGUUUGUGGCUCAAGGUGUGAGAUUACUUGUUAAGGUUUCUGGUGCCCAAAUGAAGUCUUCAGUUCAAUUAAGAAUCUCAAGCUGCC
rnacentral:lncRNA from 1 species